UACGUAGGGGGCAAGCGUUGUCCGGAAUCAUUGGGCGUAAAGCGCGUGUAGGCGGCCCGGUAAGUCCGCUGUGAAAGUCGGGGGCUCAACCCUCGAAUGCCGGUGGAUACUGUCGGACUAGAGUGCGGGAGAGGCGAGUGGAAUUCCUGGUGUAGCGGUGAAAUGCGCAGAUAUCAGGAGGAACACCAAUUGCGAAGGCAGCUCGCUGGAACGUAACUGACGCUGAGACGCGAAAGCGUGGGGAGCAAACAGG
rnacentral:rRNA from 1 species